rnacentral:rRNA from 1 species
AAUCAACGCUGGCGGCGUGCCUCAGACAUGCAAGUCGAACGAUUAAACUUCCCUUCGGGGAAGAUAUAAAGUGGCGCACGGGUGAGUAACACGUAGGUAAUGUACCUUUGGGUGGGGAAUAACUUAGGGAAACUUAAGCUAAUACCGCAUAAUGCAGCGGCUCCUUCGGGAGACAGUUGUUAAAGAUUUAUCGCCUAAAGAGCAGCCUGCGGCAGAUUAGCUAGUUGGUAAGGUAACGGCUACCAAGGCUACGAUCUGUAUCCGACCUGAGAGGGUGGUCGGACACACUGACACUGAAUAACGGGUCAGACUCCUACGGGAGGCAGCAGUCGGGAAUUUUGGGCAAUGGGCGAAAGCCUGACCCAGCAACGCCGCGUGAAGGAUGAAGUCUUUCGGGAUGUAAACUUCGUAAGAAUAGGAAGAAUAAAUGACGGUACUAUUUGUAAGGUCCGGCUAACUACGUG